rnacentral:tRNA from 1 species
UGUUCUGUGGCUUAGUUGGUUAAAGCGCAGGUCUAGUGAUACUGAGUCGUGGGUUCGAAUCCCACCAGAACGC